UAAUCCUCUUCUUCAUCUUCUUCUUCCCCAUACCCUACCUCCAACCGACCACCGUUCUUCUUCUUCUCUUCUCUGGUUCACGAAGCCAUUGCACCUCUAGCCGACCACCAUUCUUUUUUUUUUCUUAUGUCGUUUUGCGAAACCGAUGUGUCUUCAUCCACUACUCGAGAAGCAGUCGUCGUUGGGUGUCUGUCGUGAACUCGAGUUGAAGGCACCAAAUCCAAGCUGCACGUGCUUCUCCCCAUCCGACCGUGUCAUCCACCAUCAUCAGCUGAUCUGUUCCUCGAAGUUAGCCACUAGAUCAAUUCUGCACGAUUGUCUUGACUCUAUUCGUACGCCAGUGGCACUGAUUUUUGUAUGAUUGUUUAGUGGUGUUGAAAGUAGCGCUCGAGUUUCUUGGAUUCACAACAAAUUUUAGUUUUGGGAGGAGCUCGAUUCGCUAAUAUUUGGGUAAGUUUAGAAAAUUCAUUAAGACAAAUAAAUGAGAGGGAGUACUGUGAAAGUAAUGGAAUUUUUUUCUAUCGUUAUGUUUUGUGGACUUUAGUUCAAUUAAGGAGCUUACCUAACGUUAAGGUGAGGGGUUUCUACUAUUGGACUCUACCAUAGAUUUCAAAUAUGUUGACUAUGUGGAUGUCUCUGAACUGAGUAUGGGUGUCAGAUAUGAUAUGUAUAUUGAUGCAGAAGUGAUGAUGAACGUGACUGAUAUAUAUGUAGAUGUAGAUGUGAUGACAAACAGAUUAUGAUUGUCUAAUAUGUUUAUGUGAACAUGAUGAAAAAUGUCUAGAAUGUAUGAUUAGUAUAUUAAAGUAUGGUUGGAGUAUUUGUGAACCAGGAGGAGUAUUAUGUAUAUAGCUUGAUUGUCUGAUGUGUUGUUUUACUACCAACUGAUUUUGUGAUAGAAUUGGGAAAUUUGAUUGUAUAUGUGUUGUACUGAAAGAUGGAUAUGAUGGUAGCUUGAAUUGUAAUUGGAAGUGAUUGUUUAAAAGGUUAGAACUAGUUGAAGGGAAAUUGUUAGCUUUUCUAUUAGGUAGUGUGCCUUGCAGGUGUCCCACGAGAUCUCCACAUGUUGUGCAUCCUUCGAGAGCACUAUAGUUAUAUGUGUUUUAUGCAGAGCACUAAACUGAUAUGUGCAUCCUUCGGGGCGUUAGAUUGAUUAUGUGUAUCCUACGGGGUCUCAAGACUAUUAAAGUGCAAGGCAAAGGUAACACGAGAGGUAGACUGACGAGGGAUAAAAAGGAUGCGUGACUGCCAUAUGAGGACAUGGUUUUUCUUAAAAUUUGCUUUCGCUUAUGGUUUUAUAAUUUUUGGGAUUGAACUGAGUUUAUGGAUAGUAUUUUGUGAAUAGUACAUUUAGAAAUUUUAAUUGUUUGAAAUAGGGCUCGAACAACGUUUUCCUGAAUCGUUAUGAUCUUAAAUAAACUUUACCA